rnacentral:rRNA from 1 species
UACGAAGGGGGCUAGCGUUGUUCGGAAUUACUGGGCGUAAAGCGCGUGUAGGCGGCUCUGCAAGUCGGAUGUGAAAUCCCACGGCUCAACCAUGGAAGUGCAUUCGAAACUGCAGGGCUAGAGUCCUGGAGAGGAAGGUGGAAUGCUUGGUGUAGAGGUGAAAUUCGUAGAUAUCAAGCGGAACACCGGUGGCGAAGGCGGCCUUCUGGACAGUGACUGACGCUGAGACGCGAAAGCGUGGGGAGCAAACAGG